GACGAACCGUGCGAACGUUGUUCGGAAUCACUGGGCUUAAAGGGCGCGUAGGCGGGCAGUCAAGUCAGGGGUGAAAUCCCACGGCUCAACCGUGGAAGUGCCUUUGAUACUGGCUGUCUGGAGGGAGGUAGGGGCGUGCGGAACUUCCGGUGGAGCGGUGAAAUGCGUAGAUAUCGGAAGGAACGCCGGUGGCGAAAGCGGCGCGCUGGACCUCUUCUGACGCUGAGGCGCGAA
rnacentral:rRNA from 1 species